rnacentral:piRNA from 1 species
UGCAAUGUUGCCAUUGUAAUGGUGUCAGUGU